rnacentral:rRNA from 1 species
AACGAACGCUGGCGGCAGGCCUAACACAUGCAAGUCGAACGCCGUAGCAAUACGGAGUGGCAGACGGGUGAGUAACGCGUGGGAACAUACCCCUCGGUUCGGAAUAACUCAGGGAAACUUGAGCUAAUACCGGAUACGUCCGAGGUUUUGAUCGACCUUGGAGAAAGAUUUAUCGCCGAAGGAUUGGCCCGCGUCUGAUUAGCUUGGUUGGUGAGGUAAUGGCUCACCAAGGCGACGAUCAGUAGCUGGUCUGAGAGGAUGAUCAGCCACAUUGGGACUGAGACACGGCCCAACUCCUACGGGAGGCAGCAGUGGGGAAUAUUGGACAAUGGGCGAAAGCCUGAAUCCAGCCAUGCCGCGUGAGGGAUGGAAGGCC